rnacentral:rRNA from 1 species
AUUGAACGCUGGCGGCAGGCCUAACACAUGCAAGUCGAACGGCAGCACAGAAGAGCUUGCUCUUUGGGUGGCGAGUGGCGGACGGGUGAGUAAUGUCUGGGAAACUGCCCGAUGGAGGGGGAUAACUACUGGAAACGGUAGCUAAUACCGCAUAACGUCGCAAGACCAAAGUGGGGGACCUUCGGGCCUCACACCAUCGGAUGUGCCCAGAUGGGAUUAGCUAGUAGGUGGGGUAAUGGCUCACCUAGGCGAUGAUCCCGAGCUGGUCUGAGAGGAUGACCAGCCACACGGGAACGGGGAAACGGUCCAGACUCCGACGGGAGGCAGCAGUGGGGAAUAUUGCACAAUGGGCGCAAGCCUGAUGCAGCCAUGCCGCGUGUAUGAAGAAGGCCUUCGGGUUGUAAAGUACUUUCAGCGGGGAGGAAGGCGGUGAGGUUAAUAACCUUGCCGAUUGACGUUACCCGCAGAAGAAGCACCGGCUAACUCCGUGCCAGCAGCCGCCGUAA